CUUGCAGCGUCCAGAGCGCGGGAGCCACCACAGGAGCAGGGGCAGGAGCCAGCUUCGUCGCGUGGGAGCCGCUGGAGCCGCAGGACCAGAGCUGCUGUUGCAGAAGCCCCCAAGGCCUCCGCCAACGCUGCCUCAGGAGCCAAAGCCGCCGCCAGAGCCAAUGCAGAAACCAACGCCACCGCCGCCCUAAGCCAAUGUUGUGGCCUUGAGACCACAGCAACCUUAAACGCCACGUCUAAAACAUAGGAGCCGCUGCCACCAUCGUUGCCGCUGCCGCCGCAGCUGUUGCCAAUGCAGCUGCAAGACCUUGGAGCCUCUGCCGCCGCUGCUGGAGCACAAGAACCGUGGUAGACAAUGCCAGCUGGGGAGAAGGAGCCACUGCCGCCAGAACACGAAGCCGCCGCCCCCAGGUCCAACAACUGCUGGAGACAACGCUGCGCCAGGAGCACGGGAGUCACCGCUCCCAGAGCACAGGAACCAUUGGAGCCUUCAGCGUGUCCAGAUCAUGGGAACCGCUUCCCUCGCUCCGCUGUCACUGCAGUCGCCCACCAGCUGGAGACACUGUCACUGCCGCCCCCACUGCAGCCAGGACACGGAGCUGCUACCGGAGCCAACCCCCCUGCCCAGAGCCAAUGUUGACACCUCCACCAGAGCACAGGAAGGGCCAGAGCGCGGGAGGAAACGCUGCUACUGUCUCCCUCUUCUGGACACCAGAGCCACCUGCCGCCGCCACCACGUGCAGAGCACAAGAGCCAAAGCCGCCAUCGCCAUUCUUAGCGAUUAAGGAGCCGCCGCCGGCAUCACCUAAUCGCUGGAGCCACGACGCCACCUUCUCGGACUCCAGGAACAGGAGCCGCUGCCAGAGCACAGGAGCCACUGAACGCUGGAGCCACGGCCGGCCUCGGUGAGUUCAGAGCUGCCCAGGACAGGACCCAUUCCAAAAGGACGCUGCGCAAGGCUUGGCCAUGGCCGUUAGGCAGCGGGAAGGACAGCCUCCGUCACUCCCACCGCGAGUUCACCCGCGCAUUCCUGGCUGCUCCCCCAGGGGCAGAAACCCAGCAGAAGAUGUGGAGCACCUUGAAGAAGGAGAAAGUGAUGUCCGAAGACCCUGAGAGACUUGCCUAAGUCACAGAGCUGGAAUAUGGAAAGCUUCUCUCACUCCAGGGAUCACAGUGUACAAAAGAAAUUUGUGUACCUUAUGAAGUUUUUCUUGUUGUUGGAAAUAGGUUUAUGUAUGGGGAGCUGACUCAUAAAGACACAAUUGAAAAGGUGUGGCAAACCUUUGAGAAAUAUGAGAUGAAUUCCUAUGAAAUUCUGAGGUACAAGAAAAACAGUGAGUAGUCAAACCAUUCUCAAUCAUACCUUUAUGUGCUUGUAAUAGCAAAAUCUCUCCUGCUCCUCUAUUAUUGUCUUGUGUUUUCUUUCUCAUCAAGUGAAUGCAAUUACUUAAAGCCAUUGUAUAUAUUCGGAUAAAUAUAUGAUUGAUCAGUUACACUUCUCCUCACAGGAACAUUUGAUGAACUUCUUGUCAUUAACCUGUUAAGACUUCUUCAUCUAUUUUGCUGACAAGAGUUAGUGUUCUUCCUAUGGGUUUCCUUAUGGUGAGAUGCUGGCUUAAGGCUCUUGUAGACUUUAAGCUUCUUAAAGGGGGAGGGAUGAAGUAGGAUAGAAACUGUUCAAUUUACCUUUGUUUCUAUCUUCCACAGUGCCUGUAGAGCAGCAAUAACUUCACUAGGUGCCCAAUUAAGUUUUCAAAUAAAAUUUUGUUCUUCUCAUGACCUUAAGAGAGAGUAUUAACAAUAAUGCAUUGUUUAUUUGUAUUUGUUUUGGUUACUCUUAUUUCCAUAAAGUGUGUUAAUGAGAUUUUUAGUUCAUUCCCCACUUAUAAGUAUGAAACUUGCUUUUCUCUUAAGAAAUUUCUUGUCAAUAGAGAGCUAUAUUAAUUUUUAUGGAAUGUGAAUACAUGGUCUUAGCAGGCAUUUGGAGAUGUUAAAUAGUGCUUUGUUUCUGUUUUUAAAACACUAUUUUGUUUGUAAAGAGUCGUGUUUUUAUAUGUAGGGUUGACUGGUAGGUUUUUGAUUCAGUAGAACAUUCCAGAAUGGCCCAGAUGGGCACAAAGAUAAGUGUUAAUUUGGUGGUGUAUUUAGGUAUGAGUGAUUCUUCACUCUGGAAAGCAAACGGAACUUGUUGCUUUAUCUGGAAGGAGCUUGGACUCUUUUGUUCUGUCUGAACUGUUGGAGCAACUGAGAGGACUGUUUGCUUGGUGGCCUGUGUAGAUACUGAUCUGAGAAAUGAUCCAUGACCUUCAAUAAGUUCAAGGGGGCUGUUCCCAUACCUUACAUUCUGCUCUAGCUUCCUCGCUCAGCCAGUAGGUCUUGUUUCUGUCCCACUUUUAGCUAUAAAAGGAAAGAGGGAAAAGAUGGUGAGAGGCUACAUACAAGUCCUUCUCCAUGGGUGAGCACAG